GACGAACGCUGGCGGCGUGCCUAAUACAUGCAAGUAGGACGCAGUUGCGAACGGGUGAGUAACGCGUAGGUAACUACCUAUUAGAGGGGGAUAACUAUUGGAAACGAUAGCUAAUACCGCAUACUCGUAGAUGGACCUGCGUGGUAUUAGCUAGUAGGUAGGGUAAUGGCCUACCUAGGCAACGAUACAUAGCCGAACUGAGAGGGUGAUCCGCCACACUUGGAAUCAGACACGGCUCGGACUCCUACGUGAGGCAGCAGUAGGGAAUCUUCGGCAAUAGGGGGAACGCUGACCGGGCAACGCCGCGUGAUUGAAGAAGGUUUUCGGAUCGUACAGCUCUGUUGUUAAGGAAGCGGUACUUAACCAGAAAGGGACGGCUAACUCCGUGCCAGCAGCCGCGGUAAUUC
rnacentral:rRNA from 1 species